rnacentral:SRP_RNA from 1 species
AGGGGAAUGCCAUCAAGAUGGCGCUCGAGGCGGAGAAACAAGAGUUGAUGUCGGAAGCGGACCAGUUCAGGGAGGAAAUGGAGCGUUCCGGCGAGGCCGCCGAGGCAGCCCUCGGCGAGGCACGCGGGGAAUACGAUGCCGCGAGGGCUGCCCUGCAAAUAAAGCAGGA